GUCACGGGCUCAUCUGCAUAUUCGGGCGCCCGCCCCCUCCCCUGCUCCGCCGGCUCCGCCCGCUCCCGCCGCCUGGCCGCGGCCGGGGGAGGGGCUGGGACGCCGGGGGUGGGGCGGGCGGAGGGGCGGCGGGAGCGAGAGGCAGGACGCGCAGGCUUUUGUGGCUCAGUCGCCUCUCGCGCAGCCCCAGCCCCCGGCCCGCAGCCCGGCCGCACCGGGCAGUGCGCGCUUCCCCUUCCCACUCGCGCGGACUCCCGGCGCCCGCCCCCCCCCACCUUCCCGGCCGCCCCCCACGCCCCCGCCCGCCACUCUGCCCCCUCCCACUGCCCCGCCCCCAGAUCGGCCCGCAGGGACCCGCGCAGAGGCCGCCCGCUGCCACUUGGGGUGGGGGGGGGGGGAGAUGAGCGGCCCGGGCCCCCCUCACCGGCCGCGUACUGCGCGCCGGACUCUCGUGCCCGGAUCGGAGCUACGGGUGAUGCGCCGGGAAUAGGGCGCCAUGGCCCGAGUCCUCCUGCGGGCGGCGUGCGCGGCUCUCACGCCCACCUCCCCCGGUUCGUCCUUGCUUGCUGCACGGGGCGAGCCUCCGCGCGGGGCCUCGCAGCUGGCCGCCGGCCCCGCGCCGCCCCGGCGUGCCCCCGCGGGACCCAGAUCCCGGGCGCUUUCGUCGCGAGCCGCCAGGAGGGCCCUGAGCACUCGGGGGAAACGAUCGUCACCGGACAGACCGCCUCUGGCAGGACUUGGAGCCUCGCUGUCACUCGGGAAGGGACGAGACAGUCACAGGCCGCGGGCGGCACACGCGGCUGCCCAGGUAGCGCAGAUCCAAGGAGACCGGUUGUAAACUGCAGGAUUGGACUUGAGCAGAGCCCACCCGCCUCCGCCUGCAGGCGGUGGCCCCCCGGCUGCAAAUGCGGAGGCUCGACGCGAUGGCUGGGCGCGCGGCCGCCUGCGAGGAUGGCCUGGAAUCCUGCAACUGCGUCUCGGGUCACCGCGGGGAGCUCCCGGACCCCGCGGCCGCCGCUUUCGGGGAGCAGGACCUGGAUGCUCCGCUCACGGGCGAGGAGGCUGUUUAGGCCUGUGGAGCGCCGGAGUCUGAACGGACACUGGGCCUCUGUCACUUUCGGUUGCCCUCCUCACCGGGAUGGAAGAGAAAGGGCCGGCGCGCGGGCCAACCGGGUGCGUGCCCUGAAAGCGAUGGAUCCGAGCAGUUCGGUUGCGGGAUUUACGGUGGAUUCCACCUCCCCGCCCCCAACACACACACUUUGCUCCAGGUGUGCAUUCAAAAAAAAAAAAAGAGGGAUCGGUUAACACCAUCACAUUUCUGUUUCUUGUCCCCACAGUGGCCGGUGCUUUUGGAACGAGUUGGCGAGGACACUCGUGUUUCCGGGAACCGCGGUUUCCUGGAGGCCGAGCUCUGGGAAACGGCGGCCUGGGGCUCUAGAUCCUCCUCGGAAAGCAGCGGUGGCGCAGACCGAGGCGCCCUCCACUCCUUGCCCGGGACUCCCGGGAGGCGGGAAGGCCCAGCGGCAAUGCGGCCCGAAGUCGUGCGCACGGGCGGCGAGGGGGCGCUGUGGCCCGCGGAUGCCGCCUCGUCCCCGCCGCGGUGGGCCUGGCGCCGUCCCCAGCCACUGAGGGCGCCCCGGCCCGGCCUCCCCCACGUCGAUUGCAUUCGGGGCAAACGGACAGCAACACUGGAGCGCUUGAAUAAAGCCUAGCCGAGCCCGGCUUCUCUCUCUCUUCCCGCCUUUUGCCCUGUCUUGGGAGUUUUAAGAGUUGGGUGGGCAAAGAGGUACCAUCUUGGAGCGUGUAGAUAUGCCGAGGGGAGGGGGUCAAUUAAGAUUUAAAAAGACACAUUUUACGUGGUUCCUCUUCGUGAAGUUCUGUGUCAAGUGGAAGUGGUUUCCAUGUAUAGGGGACCUGUCCCCUCUGAUGUCGCUCUUCCUGGGGGACUGUGGAGCGAGUGGCAUCAGAAACUGGCAAGAAGAGCCGCGAGUCCGGGUCUGUGUUUUCUUUUUUGGGAAACAGGAACACUUCGCUGUAAACUGUACAGAGUUUAAGUCAAAUGAACCGUGAAUGCCUUCCAAGCGGGGUCGAGCCCGCUCGCGGGUCUCUGGACACUUUGGCCUUUCGAAGCUCUGACACGGUCUUCUGAUGCGGCCACGUGUGUCUGCAAAACACCGCGGGAGGCGAAGCGCGGGGGGUCCCCGCCGCUCCAGUCAAGGAACCUGGAGCGCGGACGCGGCCCCUGGGUUUCCACCGGCCCGAAAGACUCGGGCCCCGCGGGCAGUGCCGCGGGAGGGGUCCCUGGACCGGGGCGCGCUCUUUUGUACGUUCUGGGCUCAGCCUGAGACCCGGUUCUAGCACCACGGCCCAGCCCCUGAGGUCGGAGGACUAGAACUGUGCUGGCCGCUAACGUGUCCCUCCUGGUUUCGUUCAGCGGCCGCACACGGCCCAUCCUCUCCGCGAACGCCCCGCCUCCGACCCGCUUCCUGAAGUUUCUCCCGCGCCGCGGCCCAGGAAUCAGCAUCCUUCGCCUCUUCUCCGCAUCCCGUGCUUCCAUCGCUCCGGUUCUUCCCUUCCCCCCGCGAACCCCGACCCGCAGCCCCUUUGGGCGAGCCGUGCGCGCGUCCCCGGGCUCAGGUCCCCGCCGGUGUCCGCGUCCCCAGCUGGGAGCGCCGAGCGGGGGUGAGCGGAAGGGUGGCGGUGCGCGGGCGGCGGUGCGCGCGCCGCGGACGGGAUGAAGGAUCCCAGUGACCCGAGACCCUCUUCCGGAGCCGCCAAGACCCGAGCGCCUUCGUUCAGCGGUCGGCGAUCGUUUGGAAGGACAGUGUGAGCGAGCGCUCUGCCCUCCGCGUUCACGGCCGCGCGGCCUGGCGCCCAGACCUGCACACACGUGCGCGCGCACAGUCGCGCUGCCCGGGGAGGUCAGCGCGCCGCGAGAGCGGCUCUAGGCAAGUGGAAACAGAUGAAAGGUGUCCGGUUUUUUUUUUUUUUUCCUUUUCUUUUCUUUUCAAUGUUUCUGCGAGACAGCCUUUGGAAGAACUUAGGUCAUACAUACCCAUCCCUCCCCGCCCUCCCCCCGCCCCCCGACGCCCAGACCGUCCUCAGCCUCUCCAUUACUCGCUUUGCUUUCCCGGUUUUCCACUCCGGAGCGCAGCUCGGCACGUGCACGCGGGUGUGAGCGCGCCCAGAGGCUGCAGAGACCCGGAGCGUCGCUCGGAUCCGGCCAGAGCGGGUAGGAUCCUCGCUGGCAAGAAAACCAGCGGAGGAAAGGAACUGUGUUUCGCCCAUUACUUUUAUUAGACGAGAGAGGCUAUAGAGGGCGUUUGUCCCGGGUCCCGUUUCAUAGCCGCCUGCUGACUUCAUCAAAAGGGCUCGUCCAGACCGCGAUUCCGCCGCGCGUGGUCAGGCGCACACUGACGCAGCUGGGUGGGAGAGCCGCGGUUGAACAGAAAUUGCUGGCACUGACCUGGGGAGAAAGGUUUGCAGUGACCGUAAAUGGCAAAGACUGCCCUACAGAACCAGGAACAGCGCCCAAGGUCAGCAGGUGAAGCCAGCCGCCGGAGAGAUGGGCCAAGGAGGCCGGUGGAGUCUCCUCACAGAGGACAGAGGCCCACGUUCGUUCUUGACGGGGACACCUUACCGUGUGACAGAUGCCACGGUGUGACCCCAAACAAGGCCCAGGGUGUGCGGAGACCGGGCGCGCUCUCCCUGCUGUGCUCGUUGAAACUGCUACAGAGGAAUCCGGGAGACAUUUGUCCAUAUCUGAAAAAGCAGGAGCUGCCCACCCCGCUGACCCCCAGAUCCCUGCCUCAUUGUCCGCCGCCGCUGAGAAAAUGCCAGGCUGGGGGCACUGAGCCCUGGCACUGCCCUUGCAGCAUUGUCUGCAAAGUGCAGGGCUGGAAGCGUCCUAAAUGGCAGUCAGAGGAGGCCUGGCUGCAGAGCCCAGCCCAGGGCACGUCCCCUGGAACAGAGUGUUCCCCAGGGAUGACGGGAACCACCCCAGACUCUGCUUGCACUCGCUGGAGCCAGUCCUGGGGGUAUAAGGUUGAGCUGGGGAAAAUAAUAAUACUUUCAGAAAAGGAUACCGACAGCUUGCGGCUCCUGCCACAAUUGACAAAAAGAAAAACAAACCAGCAAUAUACCUGCUGUUUACAGGUGGGGGUGGCAGCGUCGCUAUGGGGCCUCUCCCCUAGGCUGCAGGCCCACUGUGUGCUUGAAGAGAGGCUGGGGGCCCACACUGGCGGGCAUGCUUUGUUUCUGAAAAAUCUAUAUGCUGCAAAUGUCACCAGAGAUUGUUAACUUGAAAUGAUGGUUACGUGGAUUCUAUCACUCUCUACAUUCCUAGCAUGUGAAAUAUUUAACACUUUGAAAAUUAAAACAAGAAUGUGUGUUACCCUUUAAAAGAAGUGUCAUAGUGCAGAAGUAUAGGGAGCUAAUGGAGGAGUGCUUUCUUAAAAAAAACAGUUUCUCAA
ensembl:lncRNA